AGCCUGAUAGUAACACUAGAUUCCAUGGUUUCUCUUAGAUUCCACUUUCCUCGUAUUUCUUAAUUUUCUCACUUUCUAUUUCAGAUGUGUUAAAUUGGACAGCAGAAAUAAGUCAUUGGAGCAAAAUGUUUGGGAAAGAACCCGAUUUCCUCCCUACUUUCUUAAAAAUACAUUCAGAGGCGUUAGUGCGGAGGGGUUGGAAGUAUCGCUGAAGAUAUUACGUUACGUCUGUCUGAGUCACAAAUUUGCUCAUGGUGGCUUGCGUGGGAGCAAGAUGGAUAUACCCUCUUUCGUCUGACCAAAUUCCCUGGAAUAUGUACAGCAGAGACCCACCGGUUAUCUUAUAAUUCACAUUGAAACUUGGCUUCUGGCUCAUUGCCUUCAGAGUGAGCCAAUCUGUGCUUGAAUGCUGCAUACACUACUAUAAAUGAUAGUUCUCGAGACUGUCUGUGUGUUGGCUCAGCCUGGUCCCCAUUUCCAAGUUAUUAUUUCUUGGUGUCUUCUGGGUUAAAUUAAGCCUGUUUGUCUACUACUCCUGAGGUAAGUUAACUUUAUGGGUCAUGAGUUUCCUUCCGGGCAUCCUGCCAGAGGUGUCAUGUAUAAGGGAUGAAAGACUGAAAAUGAAGACGGGUGUGCGGGUGGGAAGGAGCGAAUCUCCAAGUUUCUGGCUGCUGCAAGUCUAGGAUUUUUAAGGACGUGAGUAAUUCUGUGUCUUUUAAAGGGCAACCUAUAAACACAGGAGUUUCUGGCUGACAGAUAUAACUAGAACUCAAGGAUGAAACUCACAAAUAGCAAGCCAUGAUUUGUUCUCUUUAUAGAAUAAGGUCAGCAUGAUUUCACUGUAGCCCUGAGUAAGUGUAUUUCUUAAGAAUCAUCUCCUAUGUUUUGGGAUUUUAAAGAAGAUGAUUCUCAGAGAUCAUGGCCAGAGUUUUUGGGGAAUUAAUGUGCUAGGACUCGACAGCCAAACUGUAUGUAUUUUCUUAAUUAUACAUUCUUUAAGGUUGGUAUUAUUGUUCUCAUUUUGUAUGUGAUAAAAUUAAGGGUCAUAUAGGCAAAGAGACUUGCCCACAGUAAAUAAGUUGUAGGUCUAGAAUUCAAUUCCUCCUCCAUCUGACCUCAAAGCCAAACUCUUUA
rnacentral:lncRNA from 1 species